AGCGAACGCUGGCGGCAGGCCUAACACAUGCAAGUCGAACGGACCUUUCGGGGUUAGUGGCGGACGGGUGGGUAACACGUGGGAACGUGCCUUUAGGUUCGGAAUAGCUCCUGGAAACGGGUGGUAAUGCCGUAUGUGCCCUUCGGGGGAAAGAUUUAUCGCCUUUAGAGCGGCCCGCGUCUGAUUAGCUAGUUGGUGAGGUAAUGGCUCACCAAGGCGACGAUCAGUAGCUGGGCUGAGAGGAUGACCAGCCACAUUGGGACUGAGACACGGCCCAAACUCCUACGGGAGGCAGCAGUGGGGAAUCUUGCGCAAUGUGCGAAAGCCUGACGCAGCCAUGCCGCGUGGAUGAUGAAGGUCUUAGGAUUGUAAAAUCCUUUCACCGGUGAAGAUAAUGACUGUAGCCGGAGAAGAAGCCCCGGCUAACUUCGUGCCAGCCGCCGCCGUAAUAC
rnacentral:rRNA from 1 species